rnacentral:lncRNA from 1 species
GUGUCUUCCUCCAUCUUGGAUUUUGAAAUACCAGAAAACAAGGUCUAUAUCUUUGAUAAAAUGUGCAAAUUUUGAGAUAAGUAGGUAAUUCAUGUGUAAAAUUUUUCAUUAUAAUACAGAAAAUGCAAUGUUUUAUCAUAUUUAUGGUUGUAUUUUACCAUUAACUGAAUACUUUUGUUUGAUUCAAAUUUUCCCAACUUUGCCAAAUAAGGGGAGACACUCAAAUGCAAGG